UCCAUGGUAGCUCAGACGGUAAAGAAUCUGCCUGAAAUGCAGGAGACCCAGGUUCAAUCCCUGGGUCAGGAA
rnacentral:tRNA from 1 species